rnacentral:rRNA from 1 species
GACGAACGCUGGCGGCGUGCCUAAUACAUGCAAGUCGAACGCAGUGGGGACGGUUGAGUAACACGUGGGUAACCUCCCAUCAGAGGGGAUACCACUUGGAAACCGGUGCUAACACGAUCUGUUGGAUGGACCCGCGGUGCCUUAGCUAGUUGGUGAGGUAACGGCUCACCAAGGCCACGAUGCAUAGCCGACCUGAGAGGGGGAUCGGCCACACUGGGACUGAGACACGGCCCAGACUCCUACGGGAGGCAGCAGUAGGGAAUAUUCGGAAAUGGACGAAAGUCUGACCGAGAAAUGCCGCGUGAGUGAAGAAGGUUUUCGGAUCGUAAAACUCUGUUGUUAGAGAAGCGGUAUCUAACCAGAAAGCCACGGCUAACUACGUGCCAGCAGCCGCGGUAAUUC